UGGGGAAUAUUGCACAAUGGGCGAAAGCCUGAUGCAGCAACGCCGCGUGAGUGAUGAAGGUCUUCGGAUUGUAAAGCUCUGUCUUUUGGGACGAUAAUGACGGUACCAAAGGAGGAAGCCACGGCUAACUACGUGCCAGCAGCCGCGGUAAUACGUAGGUGGCGAGCGUUGUCCGGAUUUACUGGGCGUAAAGGGUGCGUAGGCGGAUGUUUAAGUGAGAUGUGAAAUACCCGGGCUUAACUUGGGUGCUGCAUUUCAAACUGGAUAUCUAGAGUGCAGGAGAGGAGAA
rnacentral:rRNA from 1 species